AGUGAACGCUGGCGGUAGGCCUAACACAUGCAAGUCGAACGGCAGCACAGUAAGAGCUUGCUCUUACGGGUGGCGAGUGGCGGACGGGUGAGGAAUACAUCGGAAUCUACUUUUUCGUGGGGGAUAACGUAGGGAAACUUACGCUAAUACCGCAUACGACCUACGGGUGAAAGCAGGGGAUCUUCGGACCUUGCGCGAUUGAAUGAGCCGAUGUCGGAUUAGCUAGUUGGCGGGGUAAAGGCCCACCAAGGCGACGAUCCGUAGCUGGUCUGAGAGGAUGAACCGCCCAAAUGGAACUGAGAACCGGUCCCAAAUCCUAAGGGAGGCCAGCAGUGGGAAUUAUUGGACAAGGGCGGAAGCCCUGACCCAGCAAUCCCGGGUGGUUGAGAAAGGCCUCCGGUUGGAAAACCCCUUUUGUUGGGAAGAAAAAGCGGCAGGUUAAGCCCCCGCUGUUCGGCCGUACCCAAAAAAAAAGGCACCGCCAACUUCGUG
rnacentral:rRNA from 1 species